UCAGUAGUUCCGCUAUCUCAAUUAGUGAGAUUAGUAUCCCAUAAUUUUCUCUCUUCCCUUACAACCACUUGCUGCUCCUCCUCUACGCCUCCACGAAUGCGAGCACGGAUCCCCGAUGCUGCCCUCCGCUCCUCCUCUGCUGUCCCAUGGGCAUGACAGCAGACCGCCAUCGCCGCUGUCCUGCGCUCCUCCUCUGCUAUCCCAUGGGCAGUAUCGCAGAUCACUGUCGCCGCCGCCCUCCGCUCCUCCUCUGCUGUCCCAUGGGCACGACCGCAGAUCGCCGUCGCCGCCGCCCGCUCCUCUUCUGCUACCCCACAGACACGAGCGAGGGUCUCAGUCACCAUCGUCCGCUCCUCCUCUACUACCACCCGGACGGUGAGUACAUGCCGCCGUCACCGCCUGCCGCCCUCCUCUGCUGCCCCAUAGAUGCGAGCGAGGGUCUCCUUCGCCACCGCCCGCCGCCACUUCACCAGGUUGCGGCGCCGCCCCACCGAUGAGCCCACGUGUGGCCGCCAGCCGCCCUCCCGCCUCCGGCGUCCCUGGUACAUCAUCACAGCGACCAGGCUGCCCACCCGCUGAGCCUGCACGCGGUCGCCCAUGGCCCUACAACCUCUGGCGUACCUGCUCCACCAUCACAGCCACCAGGCCGCCUUUCCACUUUGGGCGUCCUGCUCCACCAUCAAAGUGACGAGGCCUAUACAUGAGUUCUUGUUAGUACGGGAGAGAAGGAGAAGAAAAGUGUUGGGUAUAAGUGAGAAGGCCAAAUAGAGUCAUGCAGGAGAACAUGCUGCAACGGAAGGCGGCUUCAGAUGUAGCGGUGCACACCUCUUACUUCAUACUGAGGUUAGUGUAAGACUGCUAGCCUAAGAUGCAAUCGAACUGGAUAUAUCGGGGCUAGCUCUAGAAAGGAUAAUUUGGAUUGACUGAUGCCGCACACGCCUCUUCUCAUCCUGUCACCAAUUGCUUGGAUGCCGCAUCUGCCGCCAACAUCCCAACCAUCGCUAUGACGCCGGCGUCACGCCAAUGAUUGAGUCCGCACGACGCCGUAUCCUAGAUCAUCUGAGCAGCAGCUCGCCGCUGCCACGCCACCUUAGGCUUUUGAUUCUGGUAAUGCAAAUUCCCCUCACCUUAUUUGUUUUCAGUCAUUGUUCCAAUAUUUGUGGUUAUAAACCCAAUCCUAGCUAUCCUUGUUGGAGAUCGUUUAGUGGUGUCCGAUCGAAACCAAAAUUAGAUUUGAUGUUGUUUCUGUAAUUUUGAUCAUCUCAGCAUAAGAUAGAGAGAGAUCAGUCACAAAAGAUAUACGAGUUACAGUAAAUUAGAUCAUUUGCUGAACCGCAGGCUGCAAGUUUCUUUAAUAGUGCUGCUGUUGUAAAUAAUCUAUCAAGACUUGAUGACAAUAUAAUUAUUUGUACUGGACUACUGAGCCAUUUUUAGCAGCCGACAGUUACAUGCCAAGCUUUAGAAAAGUUGCAAGCCUUAAUGUCUCCAUAGCAUUCACUUGUCGUAAUGUCUGCCUAUAAGAAAGUUGGCAUCAGGCCCUUUUGUUCAAAAUCAGUUUUGUGAUAGAUUUUUGGACUUGCAUCCAUCAGUUAACAUUAGGACUUUGUACUCUUUCACAAACAAGGAGCUGGUAAAAUAUUAUUAUGCUACUUUGCCUCAUUUCAUAAGUGUCACGUAUGUUGGAAUUAUGUGCUUGUUCUGAGGUGAUGAAUCAGAAUAGAAAAAAAAAUCUGAAAAUAAGUGAUUGAUCAAGUGAUCAUGGUUGUACUUGAAGGAUAGCCAUUGAUGGAGCUAUUUUUAUUAAAGCUUGUUUUCACUUGGAAUUAUUUUUAUAAAUUCAAUACUUUGUGGGCUUGCAAUGGUUGAUUCUCUAUUCGUGAUAUUUAUAUAGACUGGAUAUGUUCCUUUAUACUACAAUGUACUUUAAUUUGCUGACAUUUCAAAUGAGUUUGUAGGAAUUGUCACUAUGAAUUGAUAAUGAAGCCGCAGACAACAUGCAUCCUUGGUGUUGUACAAGAACUGAUUAGUGUAUUAUGACAUACUCCCUCCGUAAAGAAAUAUAAGAGCUUUUAGAUCACUAAAGUAGUGAUCUAAACGCUCAGAAGGGAGUACUCAAUAAUUAGGUAUCUUCACUAUGCAUAUGAUGCUAAAUUACAGCGUUGCUUGAAACUCAUUUAAAUUUAGGCUGCAGACAACAUGCAUCCUUGAUGUUGUACAAGAACUGAUUAGUGUAUUAAGACAUGCUCCCUCUUUUUCCGUAAGAAAAUAUAAGAACGUUUAUAGAUCACUAAGGUAGUGCCUAAACGCUCUUAAGAGAGUACUAAAUAAUUAGGUGUCUUCACUAUGCAUAUGAUGCUAAAUUACAGCGUUGCUUGAAACUCAUUUAAAUUUAGGUCGAUUUGUAAUAUUUUUAGUGCUAUCAGAGUAUUUGUAUAUCCAUAUGAAUUUGAGUAUUUGUGCACGCAUAGUGUACUGUUUGUGUAUUUCCUCGAACAUGUAGUGGGCAAGAGGGCAGCAGCAUGCCUUGAGACUCCCCAGUCCAGUAGAUGCUGCAGGAGGGAGACGUCAGCGGCGAGUGGAAUCCGGGCUGGGGGGUAGAGGAGGAUGAAGGGAAGGUGAAGGUGCCCAAGGAGGGAGAGCUAGCCUUGCUGGUGAGCUCCAUUCUUGGAGAUUACCUGGCCUUGCUGGGGCGAUGUGGAUGCCCCCUAACUAGAAAACCAACAUGUAGCCGGAAAAGAGAAACUAUAUUCUAUGAGCUAAAUGAUGAGGAAGAAGAGGAUUAGGCCGACAGAUCGGUGUCAAGGAGAACACUGAGCUAUAUAUGGAGAUGGUGUUUUACGCAACAUAGGCGAUGAUCUCAAUAGCUAAAUGAUGUUGAAUUGUAGCCGGAGUAAAUAUCGUCAGAAAUAUAUUUUGAUUGAUUCUACCUAUUUAUA